GUCGAACGAGAAAGUGGAGCAAUCCAUGAGUAAAGUGGCGCACGGGUGAGUAACACGUGACUAACCUACCCUCGAGUGGGGAAUAACUUCGGGAAACCGAGGCUAAUACCGCAUAACAUCUACGGAUCAAAUGCGUAAGCAGCUUGAGGAGGGGGUCGCGGCUGAUUAGCUAGUUGGCGGGGUAAUGGCCCACCAAGGCAAUGAUCAGUAGCCGGCCUGAGAGGGCGCACGGCCACACUGGAACUGAAACACGGUCCAGACUCCUACGGGAGGCAGCAGUGGGGAAUUUUGCGCAAUGGGGGAAACCCUGACGCAGCAACGCCGCGUGGAGGAUGAAGCCCCUUGGGGUGUAAACUCCUUUCGAUCGGGACGAUUAUGACGGUACCGGAUGAAGAAGCACCGGCUAACUCUGUGCCAGCAGCCGCGGUAAUACAGAGGGUGCAAGCGUUGUUCGGAAUUAUUGGGCGUAAAGGGUGCGUAGGCGGUGCGGUAAGUCUUCUGUGAAAUCUCCGGGCUCAACCCGGAGCCUGCAGGGGAAACUGCCGUGCUGGAGUAUGGGAGAGGUGAGUGGAAUUCCCGGUGUAGCGGUGAAAUGCGUAAAUAUCGGGAGGAACACCUGUGGCGAAAGCGGCUCACUGGACCAUUACUGA
rnacentral:rRNA from 1 species